UAGUCCACACCGUAAACGAUGAGAGCUAGUUGUCUGCAGGCAUGCCUGUAGGUGACGCAGCUAACGCAUUAAGCUCUCCGCCUGGGGAGUACGGUCGCAAGAUUAAAACUCAAAGAAAUUGACGGGGGCCCGCACAAGCGGUGGAGCAUGUGGCUUAAUUCGAAGCAACGCGAAGAACCUUAUCCAGGGUUUGACAUGUAUGGAUUAACUCCGUGAAAGCGGAGCCACACCUUCGGGUGGAACAUACACAGGUGCUGCAUGGCUGUCGUCAGCUCGUGCUGUGAAGUGUCGGGUUAAGUCCCUNAACGAGCGCAACCCUUGUCGUUAGUUGCUAACAGGUAAUGCUGAGGACUCUAACGAGACUGCCCGCGUAAGCGGGAGAGGGAAGGGUGGGGGACGACGUCAAAUCAUCAUGGGCCUUUAUGCCUAGGGGCUACACACGUGCUACAAUGGCAGGUACAGAGGGUUGCGGAAGGGGUGACC
rnacentral:rRNA from 1 species